UCAAACAGUGUCCUAUGAAUUGCA
rnacentral:siRNA from 1 species